UACGAAGGGGGCUAGCGUUGCUCGGAAUCACUGGGCGUAAAGGGUGCGUAGGCGGGUCUUUAAGUCAGAGGUGAAAUCCUGGAGCUCAACUCCAGAACUGCCUUUGAUACUGAAGAUCUUGAGUUCGGGAGAGGUGAGUGGAACUGCGAGUGUAGAGGUGAAAUUCGUAGAUAUUCGGAGGAACACCAGUGGCGAAGGCGGCGACCUGGGCAGAUACUGACACUGAGGUGCGAAAGCGUGGGGAGCAAACAGG
rnacentral:rRNA from 1 species